GACGUAGGAGGCGAGCGUUAUCCGGAUUCACUGGGCGUAAAGCGCAUGUAGGCGGUUGGACAAGUCGUGUGUUAAAGCCCCUGGCUCAACUGGGGGAGGUCAUGCGAGACUGUGCGACUUGAGGGCAAGAGAGGCACGUGGAAUUCCCGGUGUAGCGGUGAAAUGCGCAGAUAUCGGGAAGAACACCCGUGGCGAAGGCGGUUCUCUGGGACGGUACUGACGCUGAGACGCGAAAGCGUGGGGAGCGAACAGG
rnacentral:rRNA from 1 species